AUCUAUUCUUAAAGCUCAAGAAAAAGGCACAUUCAGACGCACAGCAAAGAAAACAGAUAUGCAUUACCGAGCUUCAACGAACUGAACUCGAGCUUUGCUGUUUCAUCUAUGAUCGUUAUUUCCAUAACCGAGUCCGCCAUUCAGUUAUGCAGAGAGCGACAACUUUAAAUGCAUUUUACAAUGGGUACAUAUGCAUUGCAAAUUCUGACCUCGCAUGAUGUUGGUGCAUGUUCAAUCAGAUCCUGCUGGACGUCUGGUUAUCACAGGGGAUCCAGAGCAGCCUGAUAAUCCUUGGAGGAUCACUCCGUUCAAGAAUGUG